UAAACGGGAUUUUCUUCUUUAGAGCAGGUAUCUUAGUAAAUUAAAAUAGUCAUGAGGUACAGAGGGCACACCAACAAAGGGUUAAUAACGAUAUCCAUAGAGCACGAAAAUAGCCUAGUUCAGAUCAUAAAUAAGGAAAUGUAUGAUUGGGGGUUGCCAAACACUUGGUUUGCAAACAUGCGACAAACAUAGUAACAGGCUAUUCUGGGCACUUGGCCAAUUGUGUGAAAACAACAAUGGCAAAGCAGUUUUCACUUGUCUUUGUGCAUAGGGCUUUAGUUGUUAGAUCCAAAUCAGCAAAGUGCAGCCUCCAUGGCGUUAGCAUGUGCAAUCGCAAGAGCAUCAUCAUCAACAUUAGUGGACGCAGAUCCCUGUGACAUGGGCAACUUAAUUAUUAGAAAUUCCGAAAGAAGAAACCAUGGAAAAGAAAGAAGAAUCUAAAUUUAGUAGAAAUACUAAUAGCAGAUGAAAGAUAGGAUUUAGCAAAGUUAGCGUUAUGACCUGCCCAUAAUAUUUUUUCUGCCAAACAAGGAUAUGUGCAUGGGGCAGACUCCUCUUCUGGAAGUCCACGGAGUGGAGGACUGGAAAACAAGAGGGCAAGUGAAGAACAGGGAAAUUAAGAUGCAUGGAGAAGAAAAAGUUAAGGAAACCAAGGGAAGACACUGGCUACAUUACCAGUAACUACAUGCCCAAACACCUGUCUAGUCUUAAUUUUUUCCACGUACUCAAGGAGUUUCAGUUGAUACACUUGAGCAGUAAAAUCAGC
rnacentral:lncRNA from 1 species